rnacentral:lncRNA from 1 species
AAUUAAGUUAGUAAAUUAAAUUUAAAAAAAAUGAAAUGGCUAGUGCAGUUCCCAAAGCCACGUUACAAGAAACGAAAAUAAAAAAAUAAAACCAUUCAAUCAAAAACCAUUUACAAAACCUAAAAAGAAAGAAAAUAGAACCAGAUAGAAACCCAACAAUUUCCUUGUAUGACAGCCACAAAAUCCCCCAAUCUAGAUGCGUUUCUCCGCUUGAACCAACCGAAUGAAGACAUUUUAAACAGUCACUGCUCUUAAUCCAAAAUGCAGGAAAUCACAACACCUCCACUCAUCUAGCAAUACCUUGAAAGCUCAUCGCCUCCUCCACCCAUUGCAUGUCGCGUCUCCGAAGAAACCCCUCCUUGGCGAGCAGCUAAGGGAGAAGCUGGAAGCAGCAGUAAGAAAGGGAAAGGCACGGCUUCAAAGUAGUUUCAGUUGGAUUUUCUGGUGAGAUUCUCACACCCUUGUUCUUUUCUCUUCUUUUCUUAUUGUUCUGUCAAAUGGUGAAAUUGGUAAGGCUGGAAGGAGAUGGAAGUUGAACGGUUGUUGUAUUUAGAUAGCAUGCAUGCUAAUAAUGUUUUUAUUUUCUACUUAAUACCUUAUUGAUUAUGAGUUAACAUGAAUGUUCAGUUGAACAUAUACCUUGAAUUAUGUUCAAAAAUUUUAAUUGAUUAGUUGUACUCUUAUUUUUGCUUUUGAAUAUUUGAAAUAUUGAAGGUGAAAAGCUGGAAAAUUUCAUGUUGAAAUGUUGUCCAAAUGCUGGAAAUUUAGCAUGCAUAUUCUUUUAUUUAAAUGCUUUGACCGGCUAUUGUAAAUGAAGGAAUGUGUGAUUGUGGAUUAUUAAAUUUGACUAUAGAUUGGAAGUGUUUAAUGCUGACCAAAUGCUGAAAAUAUAACAUAUAAAUCCCUUUGAUUUAAAUUCCAUUAACUUCUAUUUUAAAUGAAGGGAACUUCAGUUCAAUGUUGUCAUUUUUUUAUUUGGCUACUUAUUGUAAGGGUUAAAUGUGACCGAAUGUUGGAAAAAAAAAAUGAGUUGUUAUUGAUUUUAAGACCAGGGAUUUAAAUAGCGGCCCGCAAUCGGAAUAGCGGCCGUUAUAUUGCGGUAGCGGCACUGUCCGAAACCGCUAUUGCUAAAAAUAGCGGUGUGAAGCGGAGUCACACCGAUAGCGGCAGAUCGCGGCCACAAUUUAACAGGUAACGGCCGAUUGCGGCAAUAAUGGGCCACUAUUCCCGUUAUUUCCCGUUAUAGUAAAUAAAAUGAAAUUUCAUCUAUCAACAUUCAACAGAAACACAAAUAGUCAACACAAUAAAACAAAAGCCAAAAGGGAAUAUAUUCCCCUGCAAAAUCAGAGUUUUCAAUCAAAAUAAAAAAUAAAAAGAAGUUGAAUACUUGAAAUCUGGAAAGCAAACAAUAGUACAACACAGCAGCAUUCGGAGCAAUAGAAAAUAACAUAGGGAUUUAAAUUUCUCAAUCUCAUAUUUCGGCAAACAAGUGAACAACACAGCAGUAGAUAAAAGUGUCGAGGACUUGAAUCUGAAAAACAAACCCUGCCCUAAUCACUUGCACAUUCAAAGAUUGAUAAUUUUUAAGUAAGUUACCUGAAAUUUUAUCUUGGUUCUUGCUUGCAUGUCUUGAAUCUGCACUUCUGCAAUGCAUAUGUUCUUUAGAGACUUUAGGGAUGAACCGAUGAAGGGAGAAGGCACAACAACCAGCAACAUAUUCCAAGAAUUUCAGAGGAGAGGAUGAUAGAGUUUUUAAAACUCUUCAGUUUUUCUUCUAAAUUUUGUGUGUUUACUGUUUACUGUUUAGGGAUUUAACUUUGAUUUGAAGAAAUAAGAAGAAGUGAAGAAGUAGAAGAACAGAGGCGUUUUGUGGGUUAUAAAUUUUGUGUGUUUGUC